rnacentral:rRNA from 1 species
GAUGAACGCUGGCGGCGUGCCUAAUACAUGCAAGUCGAGCGAACAGACGAGGAGCUUGCUCCUCUGACGUUAGCGGCGGCCGGGUGAGUAACACGUGGAUAACCUACCUAUAAGACUGGGAUAACUUCGGGAAACCGGAGCUAAUACCGGAUAAUAUAUUGAACCGCAUGGUUCAAUAGUGAAAGACGGUUUUGCUGUCACUUAUAGAUGGAUCCGCGCCGCAUUAGCUAGUUGGUAAGGUAACGGCUUACCAAGGCAACGAUGCGUAGCCGACCUGAGAGGGUGAUCGGCCACACUGGAACUGAGACACGGUCCAGACUCCUACGGGAGGCAGCAGUAGGGAAUCUUCCGCAAUGGGCGAAAGCUUGACGGAGCAACGCCGCGUGAGUGAGGAAGGUCUUCGGAUCGUAAAACUCUGUUAUUAGGGAAGAACAAAUGUGUAAGUAACUAUGCACGUCUUGACGGUACCUAAUCAGAAGGCCACGGCUAACUACGUG